GAUGAAGAACGUCGCGAAAUGCGAUAAGUAGUGUGAAUUGCAGAAUUCAGUGAAUCAUCGAAUCUUUGAACGCACAUUGCGCCCCUUGGUAUCCCGAGGGGCAUGCCUGUUCGAGCGUCAUUUCACCACUCAAGCCUGGCUUGGUGUUGGGCGACGUCCUCUUUGGGGACGCGCCUCGAAACGCUCGGCGGCGUGGCACCGGCUUUAAGCGUAGCAGAAUCUUUCGCUUUGGAAGUCGGGGCCCCGUCUGCCGGAAGACCUGCUCGCAAGGUUGACCUCGGAUCAGGCAGGGAUACCCGCUGAACUUAAGCAUAUCAAUAAGCGGAGGA
rnacentral:misc_RNA from 1 species